GGGGUUUUCUGAAAGACCCCAGCCCCAAAAUCCCGGAGUAGAAUGGGUUGGAACGUCUUCAGGAUGGGUUGAGCGCCAUUUUUCGACCAAACCAUUUUUUCUUUCUAGGAAGUGAAAGUUCUCACUAAAACAUCUUCUCUUCUUGUGUCCCUAGUUCUGACAUUCUUCUUCUCACUUUACUAAGGAGCAAUCCAAACCUUCACAACCUCAUCACCAACCUCGCAACAUCUAUGCUUCAUCCGUUGAGACCUCACCAAAUCCAUUCUUCGUAGAACACCACCAAUUUUAGUUCCGCCUCUAGAUUUCACUUCCGGUAAAUCUUCUUUUUUACUUUGUUUUAUUUUUGUCGAGUGUUGGUUUUCCACUUGAUUGGUGGCCGUAAUUCAUUUCUCACGCCCUUUGAGAGAAAGUAACGUAUUCAAUCAUUAUAUGUAAUGAAUUUUUUAUUACUCGAGGUUUCUAGGUCUUCUCCAUUUGAUGUGUUCUGCCACUGUAGGUGUUGUUCUGUUUGUGACAAUAAGCAUGGUUCAAAAAGAGAGAGGAUAUAGAGUGAGACUUGAAGGGAUUACGUGAGGAAUGUGUUUCGAAUGAUUAUUAUUUAUUGGUUUGAAAUAAUGAAUUUUAAUUUGUGGAGUGCCCCUUUUUUUCUUAGGUUGUUAGGUGGGUUCUACCUUGUCUUGCUGCAAUUGUGGGCAUAAGCUAUAUUCUUCAAUCAAAAUUGAAAGUAACAUGAAAAGGGGUGAUUUUAUGAACUAGGUUUUCAAAAUAUUCAAGUUGUGCUCUAUUUUCACCAAUUUUGAUAUUUUAUUUUGUUUUCUUCAAUUCAAACCAUUGUUCUUUCCUUUCUUGUCAUACGUAUACAAUCAUUUUACAAUUAAUAUAGUUGUUAUUGGUUUAACUUUACAAUUUCUCAGUUCUGCAUUAUUCUUGAUAUUUUAAUUCAUUGUCUUUCCUUGUUUUAGGUUAGUAAACUUGCAGGAAGCAUUUUCAACUCGUAUGAUAUUAGUUUUAUAGGUUAAUUCAGUUUAUUUCCAUUUCUAGAAGUUAGAUCUUUUAGUUUUUCCAAAUUUAGAGAAUUUUGCUAUAUUUUGAUUUAUUAUUCAGCUUUUGCCUUUCUAGAGAUGAUCUAGCUCAACAUCUACCUUUCCAUAUUCACAAGUUUCUUCUUAACAGGAUUUUCAUUUUUGUAUUUAUGAGUUUUGUUGGCGUGUGUUUAGCUUUGCAACAGAUGUAUGCAUUGUAGUGACUUUUGCAUACAUGAAAUUUAUGAAUUCCAGAUUGAUAAAUAUGUUAUACAAAGUUUUAUAUAAGCUCUAUUUUUCCUCUUUCUGUAAUAAUAAGUUUCAUCAUCCCUUGAUGCCAGUAUAAUGUCUAUAUUUAAACCAAUUUUUAUUAGAAUUAAGAAAGAAUUCGGUCUAACUUUAUCUCAAACUCAAAAGUUAAAUUAAUGUACUUUUCCCAUAUAGUUAAGGUUUGGAUUUUGUAGACCUUGAUAAUUUAUUUUAAGGUUUAAUAUCUAUUUUGAUUCUUUGAUUUAGUCAAAGUGUUUAAAGUGGUCAUAUCUUUACUUACGGCGUUAAAAACGUUAACGUUAAAAACGCUAAUGGUGUAAUUGUUCCCUAGAAAAUUAAAUUUGGAAAAAUUUGAUUCAAAAUCCAAUGAAGCUAUAUUUCUUGGUUAUUCUUUUACAAGUAAGACAUAGUUUUUAAUCGGAGAACUUUUGAAAUAGAAGAAUUAAUGCAUGUUGUCUUUGAUGAAAUUGUGAACCUUGAAAAAAAACCUCUUGAUUCAAGUGAAUCAGAUACAGGUGAAGAAGAAGACUUGUAGGAGACAACAAAUGAAGAGACCUUUGAUCAUUUAAUGAUAUUAUGAGAUUAACAUUCAUUUGUAAUCUUCUUGAGAUAACAACUAUCUCUUAGUUCCAAAUUUUCAUAUCUUAUCUUGUUUGGUGCAAGCACGUGGCAAUCUCCCACUCAUCUUGGAAGCUCCCUUGAAAUGGCGUGAAACUCCUUCAUUCCCUAAGUUCUCUAUUUCUUUCUUUUCCAAUUUAAUCUUUCAAUUCCUUUCUUUUCUGUCAAUUAACGUAGUUUCUUUCUACUUAAGCAUGUUAUUC
rnacentral:lncRNA from 1 species